CGUCUGCUCAACUCUGAGCCCUAACUGGACCAUUAUUGCACAAUCAGAUGGGUUCAACAUCACACUCCAAACUUCAGUCUUCUGCACUCCAUCCAGCUGUUUGUGUCGAGAACAAAGAUAUGAUAUGAACAGAGUAAAGGAGUCACUUACCACAACUCGUAAGAACUUCUGGACACGGUCUCCACCCAUUGCAUCUCUGGCGAGCACCAUCACCUCC